rnacentral:rRNA from 1 species
UACGUAGGGUGCGAGCGUUAAUCGGAAUUACUGGGCGUAAAGCGUGCGCAGGCGGUUUGUUAAGACAGAUGUGAAAUCCCCGGGCUUAACCUGGGAACUGCAUUUGUGACUGGCAAGCUAGAGUAUGGCAGAGGGGGGGUAGAAUUCCACGUGUAGCAGUGAAAUGCGUAGAGAUGUGGAGGAAUACCGAUGGCGAAGGCAGCCCCCCUGGGCCCAAUACUGACGCUCAU